UGGGGAAUUUUGCGCAAUGGGGGAAACCCUGACGCAGCGACGCCGCGUGGAGGAUGACGGCCUUCGGGUUGUAAACUCCUGUCAGAAGGGACGAAAUCCCGCAAGGGACUGACGGUACCUUCAGAGGAAGCCCCGGCUAACUACGUGCCAGCAGCCGCGGUAAUACGUAGGGGGCAAGCGUUGCUCGGAAUUACUGGGCGUAAAGGGUGAGUAGGCGGUCGAGCAAGUCAAGGAUGAAAUCCCGAGGCUCAACUUCGGAAUUGUUCUUGAAACUGUUCGGCUUGAGGGUAGUUGAGGAGAGCGGAAUUCCCGGUGGAGCGGUGAAAUGCGUAGAUAUCGGGAGGAACACCUGAGGCGAAGGCGGCUCUCUAAACUACUCCUGACGCUGAAUCACGAAAG
rnacentral:rRNA from 1 species